AGAGUUUGAUCCUGGCUCAGGAUGAACGCUGGCGGCGUGCAUAACACAUUCAAGUCGAACGGAAGCAGAAAUGCUUAGUGGCGGACGGGUGAGUAACGCGUGAGCAACCUGCCCUUGUGUGGGGAAUAACGUCGGGAAACUGACGCUAAUACCGCAUAAACACACAGUACCGCAUGGUACAAUGUGCAAAGAUUCAUUGUGCAAGGAUGGGCUCGCGUCCGAUUAGUUAGAUGGCAGGGUAACGGCCUACCAUGACAGCGAUCGGUAGCCGGACUGAGAGGUUGAACGGCCACAUUGGAACUGAGAUACGGUCCAGACUCCUACGGGAGGCAGCAGUGGGGAAUAUUGGGCAAUUGGGCGAAAGCCUGACCCAGCGACGCCGCGUGAAGGAAGAAGGUCCUCGGAUUGUUAAACUUUAGUACUCAGGGACGAGCAAAGACGGUACCUGAGGUUAAGCCACGGCUAACUACGUGCCAGCCGCCGC
rnacentral:rRNA from 1 species